CCCGUGUCAGUGGUAGUCAAUCUAAUGCUACAAACAACAUCAACGACAACAACAAACAACAAACAAUUAAACAAUAAGAAAUGUAUUUCAAAAUGAAGAGAAAGAAGAAAAGAAAGAGAAAGACAGAGAGAAAAGAUUGACGUAGAAAAGAAAGAAAAAAGGAAAUAAUUAAUGUUUUAUACAAAAGGAAUAAAACGAGAAUAUAAAGUGUAAAAAAAAGGAUAAUGAAAAUGGUAAAGAAAAUAUUAUGAAAAGGAGAAUAAAAAUAAGAAGUGAAAUAAUGUGAAAUAGAGAGGAAAGAAAACAAUAAUGAAUAAAAAAGAAAAAUAACAGGAAAGAAACAUUGGAAAAAAAAGAGGAAGAAGAGGAAGAAGGAAGAGAGAAAGAGAACACACACACACACACACACUUCGAUCUCUUUCUCUCCCCCCUCCCACCCCGCCCCCCUUUCCACUAUGGGUGUUGGGGCGUGGUGGUGGUGGUGGUGGAGGUGGUGGGUGGUGGUGAUGGUGGUCUUGGCGUUGGAGUGUUGGUGUUACAUACCUGGAACACACUGCCAGAUGAAUGCAGACUGCCGGGGGGGCGGGGCAGGGGUGUGCGGCCCCCUCCACCCCUGCCUGUGUAUUGGGGGGGGCGGGGGCGCGGCGAGGAGGUGUCUGCCGGGUCGGGGACGUGGGGAGGACUGCCUGCGGGAUGGCCAGUGUCUUCCCCAGCACGCGGGGAUGACCUGUCUGCAUAGAAGAUGUGUCCAGGCGGAGGAAGGGACCAGAAGAGGAGGGGGAGGAGGAGGGGAAGACUCAUCCCUAUCCUCCGCCGCCCCCACCCCCCUCCAGCAACAAAACAAGCGCCCCACCGCCCUCAUCGUGGGUUCGGGGGUCAUGGUCAUCAUCGUCAUCUUCCUCGUCGCUAUCUUGACCUCCUGGUUCGCACGCUUUUUAAUCUCCCACAGCCACAACUCUCUCCCGCCUCCCUCCCCCUUCCCCUCCUCCCAACACCCCCGGGAGAGAAGAGAGGUCCAGCGGGAGCCAUCUGACCCCCCUCCCCCGUACGCCUCCCUCCCCCCACCCUCCUACGAGCAGGCCAUGGGGGUGGGGGGGCGCAGGCACAGCUUCGAUGGGGGGGAGAGGGGGAGUUUGGGGGUGGGGAGGGGAGGAGUGGGGUACGGCGCCCUCCUCUCCUCCCCUCUCACUGCCUCCACCUCCAUGAUGGAACUCCACCCGCUCCCCACCACCACCCCCAGGUUCUCCCCCUCCCCUCCCCCAUCACAGUCCCCCUCCCCUCCCCCUUCCCCAACUCACCCCCAAUAAUAUUUAGAGUAAUUCCUCUCCUUUCCCCUUCCCCUCCCCUCCCUCUCUUCCCUUCACUUAUAUACGUAAACAUAUCUAGCUACUACUACUACUACUACUACAACAUACUACAACAAAUUAAAUGUAUGAAAAUAAAUCAUAUAAUUGUAGAACCUGG